GCUACAACGGAUACAACGACGGAUCUGGCUCAGACUAGCAUCGCCGGCACAACAACUGAAGAUGCAACCACAUCAAAUAUCGUAACAACAGAUGCAGAUGCAACUGAUAUCAUUACCGGUAAG